rnacentral:rRNA from 1 species
AUUGAACGCUGGCGGAAUGCUUUACACAUGCAAGUCGAACGGCAGCACGGACUUCGGUCUGGUGGCGAGUGGCGAACGGGUGAGUAAUGUAUCGGAACGUGCCCAGUCGUGGGGGAUAACGUAGUGAAAAUUACGCUAAUACCGCAUACGAUCUAUGGAUGAAAGCGGGGGAUCGCAAGACCUCGCGCGAUUGGAGCGGCCGAUAUCAGAUUAGGUAGUUGGUGGGGUAAAGGCCCACCAAGCCAACGAUCUGUAGCUGGUCUGAGAGGACGACCAGCCACACUGGAACUGAGACACGGUCCAGACUCCUACGGGAGGCAGCAGUGGGGAAUUUUGGACAAUGGGCGAAAGCCUGAUCCAGCCAUUCCGCGUGCAGGAUGAAGGCCCUCGGGUUGUAAACUGCUUUUGUACAGCUCGAAAAGGUUUCUACUAAUACUAGGCGCUCAUGACGGUACUGUAAGAAUAAGCACCGGCUAACUACGUGCCAGCAGCCGCGGUAA